rnacentral:rRNA from 1 species
ACAUGCAAGUCGAACGGAAGUCGUUAUGAUGAUUUCAAUAUGGACAGAGAACUUGUUCGAAGAAAAUGGAGACUGACUUAUAACAAUGGCUUUAGUGGCGGACUGGUGAGUAACACGUGAGCAACCUGCCUAUCAGAGGGGAAUAACAGUGAGAAAUCAUUGCUAAUACCGCAUAUGCCAUAAAUAUCACAUGAUGAAAGUGGGAAAGGAGUAAUCCGCUGAUAGAUGGGCUCGCGUCUGAUUAGAUAGUUGGUGGGGUAACGGCCUACCAAGUCGACGAUCAGUAGCCGGACUGAGAGGUUGAACGGCCACAUUGGGACUGAGAUACGGCCCAGACUCCUACGGGAGGCAGCAGUCGGGAAUAUUGCGCAAUGGAGGAAACUCUGACGCAGUGACGCCGCGUAUAGGAAGAAGGUUUUCGGAUUGUAAACUAUUGUCGUUAGGGAAGAUACAAGACAGUACCUAAGGAGGAAGCUCCGGCUAACUACGUGCCAGCAGCCGCGGUAAUACGUAGGGAGCAAGCGUUAUCCGGAUUUAUUGGGUGUAAAGGGUGCGUAGACGGGAAAGCAAGUUAGUUGUGAAAUCCCUCGGCUUAACUGAGGAACUGCAACUAAAACUACUUUUCUUGAGUGUUGGAGAGGAAAGUGGAAUUCCUAGUGUAGCGGUGAAAUGCGUAGAUAUUAGGAGGAACACCGGUGGCGAAGGCGACUUUCUGGACAAUAACUGACGUUGAGGCACGAAAGUGUGGGGAGCAAACAGGAUUAGAUACCCUGGUAGUCCACACCGUAAACGAUGGAUACUAGG